rnacentral:rRNA from 1 species
AGAGUUUGAUCCUGGCUCAGGAUGAACGCUAGCUACAGGCUUAACACAUGCAAGUCGAGGGGCAGCAGGAAUCUAGCUUGCUAGAUUGCUGGCGACCGGCGCACGGGUGAGUAACGCGUAUCCAACCUUCCCCUUAGUAGGGCAUAGCCCGUAGAAAUGCGGAUUAAUACCCUAUGUUAUUCGUCGAGGACAUCUGAAGUGAAUCAAAGGUUUACCGCUAAGGGAUGGGGAUGCGUCUGAUUAGGCAGCAGGCGGGGUAACGGCCCACCUGGCCGACGAUCAGUAGGGGUUCUGAGAGGAAGGUCCCCCCACAUUGGAACUGAGACACGGUCCAAACUCCUACGGGAGGCAGCAGUGAGGAAUAUUGGUCAAUGGUCGAGAGACUGAACCAGCCAAGUAGCGUGCAGGAUGACGGCCCUAUGGGUUGUAAACUGUCUUUUAUGGCGGGGAAUAAAGUGAGGGACGUGUCCCUUUUUGUAGGUACCGCAUGAAUAAGGACCGGCUAAUUCCGUGCCAGCAGCUGC